AUGCUAAACUAUGAUCUGGAACAAAUAGAAGAAUUUGUUGCUUUUAUGGGUGCUUAUGAGAUUGAAUCUAUGUUUAAUGCGUUUGACGAUUUUGAUGAUUCAGUUUAUAGGCCUGAAAAUCUUGCUAUACUUAGAUAUUGCUAUGAAAAUUAUGAACAUGUUAAUGCUUUUAUGAAGAAAGUCUCCGCUGUCCAAGAAGAGACUAAUAUUUUGCAUGCAGCUAUGGAAGAAGAAAUUGAUGAAACUGUGAGCUCAUUGGAUGAAAAAGAUGAUGAGGAGAGCGAAGAACAAAAGGAGGAGAGCGGAUUAGCUACCCGUGCCCACCUCCUAAUGAGAGUAACUCUUCAACUCAUACAUUGUUUAAUUCCCCUUCAUGCUUACCGAAGGAUGAUUGCUAUGAUCCCGUUGAUUCCCUUGAAAUAUCCCUUUUUGAUGAUGCUUCCUAUGCUUGUGGCCAAGAUGCCAAUAUGA
rnacentral:rRNA from 1 species